CUGCGAAUGGCUCAUUAAAUCAGUUAUCGUUUAUUUGAUAGUACCUUACUACUUGGAUACCUGUGGUAAUUCUAGAGCUAAUACAUGCUAAAAACCCCGACUUCGGAAGGGGUGUAUUUAUUAGAUAAAAAACCAAUGCCCUUCGGGGCUCCUUGGUGAUUCAUAAUAACUUCUCAGAUCGCAUGGCCUUGCGCCGGCGACGGUUCAUUCAAAUUUCUGCCCUAUCAACUUUCGAUGGUAAGGUAUUGGCUUACCAUGGUUUCUACGGGUAACGGGGAAUUAGGGUUCGAUUCCGGAGAGUUAGCCUGAGAAACGGCUAACACAUCCAAGGAAGGCAGCAGGCGCGCAAAUUACCCAAUCCUGAUACAGGGAGGUAGUGACAAUAAAUACUGAUACAGGGCUCUUUUGGGUCUUGUAAUCGGAAUGAGUACAAUUUAAACCUCUUAACGAGGAACAAUUGGAGGGCAAGUCUGGUGCCAGCAGCCGCGGUAAUUCCAGCUCCAAUAGCGUAUAUUAAAGUUGUUGCAGUUAAAAAGCUCGUAGUUGAACCUUUGGCCUGGCUGGCAGGUCCGCCUCACCGCGUGCACUUGUCCGGCCGGGCCUUUUCUUCUGGAGAACCGCAUGCCCUUCACUGGGUGUGUUGGGGACCAGGACUUUUACUUUGAAAAAAUUAGAGUGUUCAAAGCAGGCCUUUGCUCGAAUAUUACAGCAUGGAAUAAUAAAAUAGGACGUGCGGUUCUAUUUUGUUGGUUUCUAGGACCGCCGUAAUGAUUAAUAGGGACAGUCGGGGGCAUCAGUAUUCAAUUGUCAGAGGUGAAAUUCUUGGAUUUAUUGAAGACUAACUACUGCGAAAGCAUUUGCCAAGGAUGUUUUCAUUAAUCAGUGAACGAAAGUUAGGGGAUCGAAGACGAUCAGAUACCGUCGUAGUCUUAACCAUAAACUAUGCCGACUAGGGAUCGGGCGGUGUUAUUAUUUUGACUCGCUCGGCACCUUACGAGAAAUCAAAG
rnacentral:rRNA from 1 species